UGUUCCGCACGAACGAUUCAAAGAAAUAUUUUAGUACCGCCAGUUUCAACUAUCAGCUUUUAUUGUCUAUAAAUUCGAUCUCACAUCAAUCGCCAACUUUCAAUCUUUGUCCGAUUGUCACCGAAUCUUAAUCAACUACCCACUAAGUUUCUCGUACCAAUUCUAAACUCGAAAUGAAAGUUCCUCCCUUCGCGCCAAUCGGGAACCACUCCGACCUCCCCAGCUGCAAGUAAGUGCUAAUUACUGCACGAGUCCGAAAAAAACAGUGUUGCAACAGCAGGGUUGCUCCCCCAAUUAUGGCCUUAUUAGUGGUCACCGCCUUCCCGCGACCCCGGUGGCAGCCAACCCUGGGCUGGGCGUUGGGCGCGGCCCUGCUGCUGACCAGCGGAGUGAACGGUGGCUACCCCCGUGACGUCGAGUUGAUCGAGCCGGUUACGGGGAACCUUAACCGCAACGACCCACCGCCAAAGGUUGCGCGCGGCCGGCACCACUAUCCAAGUUACGUGAAAGGUCAAGACCCGGUCGAGGAGUACAAUCGCCGGAGGUUGCACGUGGACACCUCGCGGUACUUGAGCGGUCACCGGGAAGCCCCCUCGCACUGGGAUGGCCACCGGCAGCUGGAGGCCGAGGGACGGGCCCUUCGGGAACGGUAUGGACGGCGUUCGGGGGUUAAAAGUGAUCGACUGCAGAGGCAGAAAAAAGUGCAGCAUCGUGAAGGGGUCGAUCGAGGCAGGGGUGUGAAAGGUCGCCAGAAAGUGAAAGAUCCAAUUAAACGGCGCGUUGGACGGCGGGUGCAGUUGGAUAUGGAUGCUCCGAGGAGGUACGAGGAGUCGGAUCCGCACGUGUUCUCGUACGAACGGGCGGAACCGGUGGUAGAGGGGGAUGAAGAUUCUGGAAGGCAGGCCAGUUUACCGGAUGAUGUAAAGUUCUUUCAGGAUCUCUACUGCGAGCAAAAGUCUCCCCUGGAGUUGGAGUUUGGCCAUCUGUACGAGACUCAGGAUGGCUGGGAAGAGCGGUACGAACGUCAGGAUCACAAGAAUCAUCGACACCAGGGAAAACUACCUUAACUUUUUCGGUGACGGUUCGUUCAACGCCGGGUCCAAACGUGGCAACGAUCAGCACUACGUCGAACAGCACGAGCGGGGAUCCCGCGGGGCCGGAAUCUUUCAGAAGCGGGUCAAGUGGGCCGACAAAAAGGGCGGAUUCG